AUUGAACGCUGGCGGAAUGCUUUACACAUGCAAGUCGAACGGUAGAGGGGGCAACCCCUCGAGAGUGGCGAACGGGUGAGUAAUAUAUCGGAACGUGCCCAGUCGUGGGGGAUAACGUAGCGAAAGUUACGCUAAUACCGCAUACGAUCUAAGGAUGAAAGCGGGGGAUCGCAAGACCUCGCGCGAUUGGAGCGGCCGAUAUCAGAUUAGGUAGUUGGUGGGGUAAAGGGUCACCAAGCCAACGAUCUGUAGCUGGUCUGAGAGGACGACCAGCCACACUGGAACUGAGACACGGUCCGGACUCCUACGGGGGGCAGCAGUUGGGAAUUUUGGACAAUGGACGCAAGUCUGAUCCAGCCAUUCCGCGUGCAGGAUGAAGGCCCUCGGGUUGUAAACUGCUUUUGUACGGAACGAAAAGGUCUCUCUUAAUACGGGGGACUCAUGACGGUACCGUAAGAAUAAGCACCGGCUAACUACGUGCCAGCCGCCGCAGUAAAAC
rnacentral:rRNA from 1 species